rnacentral:rRNA from 1 species
CAAUAGCGUAUACUAAUGUUGUUGCAGUUAAAAAGCUCGUAGUUGAACUUCUGGUAGGAGUGUCCCGGCCUUUUUGUUUUUACAAAUUGUAUGCUGUGUGACAUCUCUGGCCUUCCUUCUUCUUUGUUUAAAGAAGAUCUUUCACUGUAAAAAAAUUAGGGUGUUCAAAGCAAAAGUUUCUUUGGAAUAUAUUAGUAUGGGAUGAUAAGAUAGGCUCUAGAUGCUAUUUUGUUGGUUUGCACAUUUAGAGAAUGAUUAACAGGGACAGUUGGGGGUAUUCGUAUUUACAUGUCAGAGGUGAAAUUCUUGGAUUUUGGAAAGACGAACUACUGCGAAAGCAUUUACCAAGGAUGUUUUCAUUAA